UGAAAACAAGCAUUACACUCUUACUCUGCUGCACUCUGCAUCGUAAAAGUUCUGUUCUCGCCUCGUUCCAGUUCGCCGGAGCUCGUUGGUGUGCGGUGCUGCUACCUACGAGACGAAGCCGUUUUAUCUUUGGGGACGACACGCCAAACCGAGAGCACUACCGGGGCGUAUCUCGUCUUGCGGACAGAGGACCCUCCUCGACUCGGCUGCCUUUCUGGUUUUAUUAAAUUGUAAUUUCAAUACAGUUUUUCCCUUGUAUUCUCAUCUCCUACAUUUCUGUGUUACAUUGUACU
rnacentral:lncRNA from 1 species